rnacentral:rRNA from 1 species
AACGAACGCUGGCGGCAUGCCUAACACACGCAAGUCGAACGAGUUCUUCGGGUCUAGUGGCGCACGGGUGCGUAACGCGUGGGAAUCUGCCCUUUGGUUCGGAAUAACAGUUGGAAACGACUGCUAAUACCGGAUGAUGACGAAAGUCCAAAGAUUUAUCGCCAGAGGAUGAGCCCGCGUAGGAUUAGCUAGUUGGUGUGGUAAAGGCGCACCAAGGCGACGAUCCUUAGCUGGUCUGAGAGGAUGAUCAGCCACACUGGGACUGAGCCACGGCCCAGCCUCCUACGGAAGGCAGCAGUGGGGAAUAUUGGACAAUGGGCGAAAGCUUGAUCCAGCAAUGCCGCGUGAGUGAUGAAGGCCUUAGGGUUGUAAAGCUCUUUUACCCGGGAUGAUAAUGACAGUACCGGGAGAAUAAGCUCCGGCUAACUCCGUGCCAGCCGCCGCGGUAA